rnacentral:tRNA from 1 species
AAUGAAAUGCCUGAAAAAAGGGUUAUUUUGAUAGAAUAAAUCAUGUAUUAUUUAUACUUUCAUUA